AGUCGAACGGCAGCACGGACUUCGGUCUGGUGGCGAGUGGCGAACGGGUGAGUAAUGUAUCGGAACGUGCUAGUAGCAGAGGAUAGCUACGCGAAAGCGUAGCCAGCUGCCGCCCUUCAGGGGAAAGCGGGGACCUUCGGGCCUCGCACUAUUGGAAACGGCCGAUAUCAGUUAGCUAGUUGGUGGGGUAACGGCUCACCAAAGGCGACGAUCCAUGUAGCUGGUUUGAGAGGACGACCAGCCACACUGGGACUGAGACACGGCCCAGACUCCUGGGGAGGCAGCAGUGGGGAAUUUUGGACAAUGGGGAAAACCUGAUCCAGCCAUCCCGCGUGUGCGAUGAAGGCCUUCCGGGUUGUAAAGCACUUUUGGCAGGAAAGAAACGGCACGGGAUAAUACCCGAUGCAAGCUGACGUACCUGCAGAAUAAGCACCGGCUAACUACGUGCCAGCAGCCGCGGUAAUACGUAGGGUGCAAGCGUUAAUCGGAAUUACUGGGCGUAAAGCGUGCGCGGUUCCGGAAAAGAUGUGAAAUCCCAGAGCUUAACUUUAGACACAUUUUUAACUGUUAAAACUCGAAGUGCUUCUGUCGGAGAAUUCCCUGGAAUUCCCGUGUAGCAGUGAAAUGCGUAGAUAUGCGGAGGAACACCGAUGGCGAAGGCAGCCUCCUGGGAUAACACUGACGCUCAUGCGACCGUGGAGCAAACAGGAUUAGAUACCCUGGUAGUCCACGCCUAAACGAUGUCAACUAGCUGUUGGGGCCUUCGGGCCUUGGUAGCGCAGCUAACGCGUGAAGUUGACCGCCUGGGAGGUACGGUCGCAAGAUUAAAACUCAAAAGGAAUUGACGGGGACCCGGCGGUGGAUGAUGUGGAUUAAUUCGAUGCAACGCGAAAAACCUUACCUACCCUUGACAUGUCUGGAAUCCGAAGAGAUUUGGGAGUGCUCGCAAGAGAACCAGUUCAGGUGCUGCAUGGCUGUCGUCAGCUCGUGUCGUGAGAUGUUGGGUUAAGUCCCGCAACGAGCGCAACCCUUGUCAUUUAUCGUUACUACGAAAGGGCACUCUAAUGAGACUGCCGGUGACAAACCGGGAAGGUGGGGAUGACGUCGAGUCCUCAUGGCCCUUAUGGGUAGGGCUACGUCAUACAAUGGUCAGGACGAAGGUCGUAACCCGCGAGGAGCCAAUCCCAGAAACCCGAUCGUAGUCGGAUCGCAGUCUGCAACUCGACUGCGUGAAGUCCGGAAUCGCUGGCGUAAUCUGCGGAUCAGCAUGUCGCGGUGUGAAUACGUUCCCGGAACAGCGCUACCGCACCGCCCGUCACACCAUGGGAGUGGGUUUUACCAGAAGUAGUUAGCCUAACCGUAAGGGCGAUUACCGUUCAGGAUUCAUGACUGGGGUGAAGUCGUAACAAGGUAG
rnacentral:rRNA from 1 species